GUGUUGUUUGUGAAGGGCACACGGUGGAUGCCUGGGCAUUAUGAGCCGAUGAAGGACGUGUAAGGCUGCGAUAGGCCUCGGGGAGUUGCCAAUAGAGCGUUGAUCCGAGGGUGUCCGAAUGGGGAAACCUGGCCAUGGUUAUGUGUGGUUACCCAUCAGUGAAUGUAUAGCUGGUGUGGGGGUGACGCGGGGAAGUGAAACAUCUUAGUACCCGUAGGAGAAGAAAAUAAUUAAUGAUUCUGCUAGUAGUGGCGAACGAACGUGGAUGAGGCUAAACCGUAUGCGUGUGAUACCUGGCAGGGGUUGCGUGUGUGGUGUUGUGGGGCGUUGUUGGAGGAGGCUGCCGGCUCCUCGCUUGUGUAUGUGUGUGUUAGCGGAAGUGGUUUGGAAUGGCCUGCCGUAGUGGGUGAGAGUCCCGUACGUGAAAGUGCAUGCAUGUGAGUGGAUGAUGUUCCCGAGUAGCAGCGGGCUCGUGGAAUCUGCUGUGAAUCUGCCGGGACCACCCGGUAAGCCUAAAUACUUAUGAUGACCGAUAGCGGAUUAGUACCGUGAGGGAAUGGUGAAAAGUACCCCGGGAGGGGAGUGAAAUAGUACCUGAAACCGUGUGCUUACAAUCCGUCAGAGCCUUGUUGUGGGGUGAUGGCGUGCCUUUUGAAGAAUGAGCCUGCGAGUCAGCGGCAUGUCGCGAGGUUAACCCGUGUGGGGUAGUCGUAGCGAAAGCGAAUCCUAAUGAGGGUGUUUGUUAGUGGCAUGUUCUGGACCCGAAGCGGGGUGAUCUACCCAUGGCCAGUGUGAAGCAGCUGUAAGAGGUUGUGGAGGCGCGAACCCACUUAGGUUG
rnacentral:rRNA from 1 species